rnacentral:rRNA from 1 species
CGUCUAUAUACGUAUAGCAUAUCAAUAAGCGGAGGAAAAGAAACUAACAAGGAUUCCCUUAGUAACGGCGAGUGAAGCGGGAAGAGCUCAAAUUUGAAAUCUUCAAGGUUCUACCUUGACGAAUUGUAGUUUAAAGAAGUGUUUUCUGUUAGAGGAGUAGCGAAAGUUCCUUGGAAUGGGACAUCAUAGAGGGUGAGAAUCCCGUAUUUGGUUAUUCUUUCUAGCUUUGUGAUACACUUUCAAAGAGUCGGAUUGUUUGGGAAUGCAGUCCAAAAUGGGUGGUAAAUUUCAUCUAAAGCUAAAUAUUGGCGAGAGACCGAUAGCGAACAAGUACCGUGAGGGAAAGAUGAAAAGAACUUUGAAAAGAGAGUUAAACAGUACGUGAAAUUGUCAAAAGGGAAGCGUUUGACACCAGUGUUGUUUUUCCGAAAAUCAAUUAAGAGUGGCUUGAUUUUGUGUUGUAUUGACCUUAUCAGCUUUCUUCACUCUUUUUCGAGUCUUUCUUAAUGCACUUUUCGGUUAACAAGUCAACAUCAAUUUCUUUUGUUGUAAAAGGGUAUUUGGAAGGUGGCUUUCUUUUCGGAGAAAGUGUUUAUAGCCUUAUACCUCUACAAUCGGAGAGAUUGAGGUCUGCAGCGUAGAUCCUUCGGGGCUAGAUACACUUGUGCUAAGUUAUAGCUUUUCAUAGACAACUUGUUGACUAUGUUUAGUCAUGUAGCUUACCCGCUUGUGCUAUUUUACCUACGCUUAGGAUGUUGAGUCAUCACACAUCUCU